UUGAAACUGAAGACGGAGAACUUCUUCAUCCAGAAUCUAGAUCCACAGCAAUCAUGACUUUCAUCAGCAUCUUUAUCUGGAUGUUCACUAGCUACUGUUUUAGAGAAUCCAGAUGUGCAGUGACAGUCACUCAAACACCUGCAGUGAAAUCUGUUCAUCUUGGAGACACAUUUACUAUCAGCUGUAAAACCAGUCCUGAAGUUUAUCAGGGUUGGGGUUUUCAGCCUCUUGCCUGGUAUCAGCAGAAACCUGGAGAAGCUCCUAAACUCCUGAUAAAAAAAGCAAAUGAGUUAGAAUCAAAUACACCAUCUAGAUUCAGUGGCAGUGGAUCUAAAAGUGAUUUCACUCUGACCAUCAGUGGAGUCCAGACUGAAGAUGCAGGACAUUAUUACUGUCAGAGUUUACCCAACGUCAGUGGUUAUGUGUUCACACAGUGAUAAAGAGUCGUACAAAAACCUCUGUCA